rnacentral:tRNA from 1 species
UGGCUCAGUUGGAAGAGCGUGGCACUUGCAAUGCCAAGGCUGUGGGUUCAAUUCCCAU